GGGCAGUUGGCGCAGUGGUUAGCGCGCUACUUUGACAUAGUAGAGGUCACAGGUUCAAAUCCUGUACUGCCCA
rnacentral:tRNA from 1 species